UACGGGGGGGGCAAGCGUUGUUCGGAAUUACUGGGCGUAAAGGGCUCGUAGGCGGCCAACUAAGUCAGACGUGAAAUCCCUCGGCUUAACCGGGGAACUGCAUCUGAUACUGGGAGGCUAGAGUGCGGGAGAGGGAUGCGGGAAUUCCAGGUGUAGCGGUGAAAUGCGUAGAUAUCUGGAGGAACACCGGUGGCGAAGGCGGCAUCCUGGACCGACACUGACGCUGAGGCGCGAAAGCUAGGGUAGCAAACGGG
rnacentral:rRNA from 1 species